GAAAGUAUCCAUAGGUGUGAUCCCAUUAAAGGGGGUACCUGGACUAAGCCAAUCCUUGCUUCCUUAAAUCUCUUCUAAUUUACUGUAAUGCUUUAAAUUCAUUUUAGCUCUUGCAGAUUUUAUUUUCUAAUCCCUUUCCACAUUUCCAUGUGUUUGUGUGUUAAUUAAAGGGUAAAAAGCCACUCUGAGCAAUCCUAGGUUCUUCUUCUCCUCCUGAACCCAAAGCCUUUUAAGAUUAAGAGCUGUUUUCUAAAGACUUCCUAUUACCCACACUUGGGGAGGAUAUCGUUCAACUCUUCACAUGUUUAAGCAAAGACUGAAUGUGAGUAAAGGUUUGUGAGAGAAAAUACUUUAUCCUUCAGAGAGCUGUGCAAACUCAUUGCUGGCUAGCACUAGUGUUGCUUAGUCAAUCUAAAGGCCAAGUUGUAGCAUUCUGAAGUGGUCCUAGGGAGGCUUGGUCAGUUGGCAAGGAGAUAUCGCUCCCUUCCUUUCUACACCUUGUAUAAGUCUCCACAGACCCUGGAAUUCAAAGUAUCAAGUAGUAUGGUGCAGUAUGUAGACUUUGGGGUUUCGACAUGGGUGAUGAGCCAUGAUGCUUAGGGCAGCUUCCUGUGUGACACGUUUCUCCUUGGCAGUUGGAGAACAGAAAGAAUUCUGUGAAAUAACCUUUAUAAGGUGGCCUAGAAAAUCACUGUUCUCAGUGCAACAGUACUUGAUAAUAAUUUUUUUUAAAAAAAAGACUGUUCAGUUUCCCAGCUACUUAGCUUUAGCCUCAGCUAUAUCCAGAUCAUUUGCUGAAUGCUGAGAAUAAAAUAAGCAGAAAAACAAAACUCUAGGCAUGAAAAAGUGUUGAUUGUGGCAUCUCUUAUGCCUGAAGAAACAUCUUUUUCAGUACCAACUUGCCUACAUGUUAAGAUCUGCUGAGGCCCUUGUCCAUGUACCUCCUUUAUCAGAGAUACAUUAUUUUACAGCAAGAGACAGAGUCUUCUCAAUAGUGGCGUUAUGCCUAUGGAAUGCCCUCCCCAAAGAGGCACACUUGAUGCAUACAUUGCAGUGUUCCUGGUGCCUGGAAAAAAUGUUAUUAUUUACCCAAGUGUCUUAGUCUGUUGUAAACUUUGGUUUGUUUUUGACAUAUUUUUUUGCUUGUAAAAUUCAAGUACAGUAAAGGAUGAUGUAGAAAUGUUUAGGUAAGUUAAUAAUAGUACGUUGCUAGUUAGGAUAGUUGGGGCAACUCUGUUCUUCAUCACCCCACCUUCUUUGCAUAGGUCCAUCUUCCUGGGUUCAUAAAGCAUUUCCUUUCCAUUACUUUUUUGUGAUCUUUUGCCAGAAUAUGGGCAACAGAUUCUAUUCUUAAGGGAGAGACAAACAGAUUUGGGGAAAUUUACAGGACUUUGCUAGGAAAGGAUUGACUGUUGAACCUUGAACAUCUGGCAUCUCCACUUCUUUAAAACAAUAAGUAUGGUUUUUUAUUUUACUGUUUUAUCUUUUGUUAACUGUUUUGAUUUUUUUUAUAGUGAAUGGCAUAUAAAUUUUAUGAAAUAAAUUAAUAAAAUAAACAAAAAAUAUUUACAAGCUUAAACGAGAGAAUUAAUUGUUUCAUUUAGCUACUUCUGCUAACCUUUGGCAAAGAGUAGCUACAUGGUGAUGGAUUUGAAUCCUGGCGUUCACAGCUUGGGGAGAAGACCUUUUGGGUGGUAAACUGAGUGCUAUGCCUGGCCUUAGUCUCUUCUUUUCUUGAUAGUUCUGAAGCCUGAAAGAAUGA